ensembl:lncRNA
GGCGGGUUGGGGGGGUCUGGCAGGGUGGCUCUGAGGUCCCCUAGCUGCUGCAGACGCAGCCUGUGCCGCAGUGUGCAGUUGCCGCUGCGUGUAGCGCCCUCUGGUGGCCAUGAACAGUACAUGCAUCUGGUCCUUUCUGCAGAGCUGAUUUCCACUCUGUUGGAGGUCUAGAGGAACUGCUGGGCGUGGGAGCUGAUUUCACAGCCAAGACAAGAGAACUUAGGCCAGACUAUUAUUCCAUGCCGGUUAUUAAGUCCUUCCUAUAUGCCAGCCACCUGGCAGAGUGAGUUGGGCUCCCAUGGCAUCCUUGCACCCAUCACCGGAUUUCUGCAAGUCUGUCUCCCCUGCCAGUCAGCAAGCCGUGGGAAGGAGGCAGCCACCACGUCUCCUUGAAGGCACAGUGCCCAGUACUCCCGCACUUGUCCUCUCUGAGCUCAGGGGCACAGGAGGGAGACACAGUCCUGGGAAAUAAGGCUGAUGAAUGCAGCUCUGAAGACAGGCCAGGCCUGAAGAUAGAGCGCCCAGGGAUCCAGCUGGAGGCAGGGCCAGGAAGCGGCUCAGCUGCCUGGAGCACAGGCGCAAGGAGCGGGUUGAGAAAACUGCUCAGGACCUUGACCCGCUCCAGGCCAGCUGGCUCACGUGAUUGAGCUGAUACAGAUGGGAGCCCUCCGAGAAGCCCGCUCUACAAUACGAACUGUCCCUCUAACAGACGGAAGGCUGGGACAUUGAGAGUCCUAAUAGAGAAGAAAAACACGGCGACGAUGCUGAGAUUGGUCUGCUGAAAGCAACAUUUAGUGCGUGCGACGGGAUAAGCCCUAUUCUAGAGGCUUUACAUCCCGGCCCCACGGUACGAGCUCACGGGCGAGGAACUGAGUCACAGCUAAAACACGGCAAGCCCGGGAUUGGGCCCUGGACGCGUCGGCGCCAGCGGGCUGGGCUGCACUUCAAGUGCUGCGGCUCUGCCUUCGGCUGUUCACAGCAGGGGCGAGCAGACUUGCUGUACAGGAGCCAAGGCCCAGACCUCCACAGAGGAGUUCCUUGGAGGCAGCAGGAGUUAAUCUCGGAAGGCUUCCUGCAGGAGGCAGCCCUCAGGUUGGGCUCCCCUCAGCAUGCCCUACAGGUCUGGAAGGUCCGCUGGACUGAAGCCAUGAUCCUAAGACCAGGAAGCAAGCCCAGAGGGCUGGCACCAGCCUACCGGUCGAAGCAGGCAGCAGAAUGGAAGAGUGAUUUGUGAAGUCAGACCUCUUGAGUUCCGUCCCAGCCUCACCGCUUACCAGCUAAAUGACCCUGGACAGCGACUUGUCCUCUCUGAGUAUCUUCAUCUCUAAAAUAGAGAUCAUGGCAUCUUUCCCCCAAGGUGGUGCCAGGGAGUCAAUCAAAGGACCUAAGGACAGCUGUCAGCCCGGUGCUUGGGCCCACGUUCCAUGCCUCCCUGACCUGCUUCCUGUGGACUGGAAGGGGCUGUGCUACCAUAGGGGGCUGGCGGGUUGGUGGGGGACCAAGCAUCUGCAGAGGUGACAGUCAUGCAAGGAAGGAGAGCCACUGCUCUGGGAGUGACACCUGAGAAGGGAGCUCACGGAGUCUUCUAAGCUCAUGAGUUGUGGUGGGAAAAACGAAGAGACCGCCCCUCCCGGACCUUCAGCGCCUCGGUCCGGUCCGUGUGUUGGGGGCUGGGAGAGGGGGGCGCACCGAUGCACCCGGUCAUAAACUCUUCCUUUCAGUGACUGUAGUCACAGCGUGCAGGAAGUGACAACUUCGAGUCACUGGCAGCUCACUCCCAGGAAGGCAAGGCAUGGCCCCCAAGCGGGAAACCCGACUAAAGGGCAAAGGAGUGGUCUUUAGGGGUUUGAUCUGCCCCCAGGGAGGGAUCAAGGGGGCACUCCAGCUGUUCUUUUGUGGCCAAAAAUAAGAAACGGUGACCUCUUUAGGGCUGGAGAGAGCUAGCAGUGAUUAAACAGCUAGGUUAAGCUAGCUGGCUGUUCACUGUAACUCAUGGCAUCCUGACCGUCCUGUGACUAGUUCCACUGUCCCACGCACCAAAUUAGAAACUGAAGCUCAGAAGGUUUAAACAACUUGGCCAAGUUUACAGAGCUAGCAAGUGUCCGAGGUGGGAAUUGGGUCUAUGUUCUUUUUCUCACACAGCACCGCCAAACCAAGACAGACCUCUCAGGGCGGGACCCACACCCCGCGCCCUUGCACAACGGGUGUUAUGUUUCUUUUUCUUUCUUUCCUUC